UACAGAGGUCCCGAGCGUUGUUCGGAUUCAUUGGGCGUAAAGGGUGCGUAGGCGGCGGGGAAAGUCUGAUGUGAAAUCCUGGGGGCUCAACCCUGGAACUGCAUUGGAUACUUCCUUGCUAGAGUACUGGAGAGGAAACUGGAAUUUACGUGUAAGCAGUGAAAUGCGUAGAGAUCGUAAGGAAGACCAGUGGCGAAGGCGAGUUUCUGGACAGUUACUGACGCUUGAGGCACGAAAGGCCAGGGGGAGCAAACGGGGAUUUAGAAAACC
rnacentral:rRNA from 1 species